AAUAUUGGAUAAUGGGGUCAACCCUGAUCCAGCCAUGCCGCGUGUGUUAAGAAGGUCUUCGUAUUGUAAAGCACUUUAAGUUGGGAGGAAGGGCUUUAGGUUAAUACCCUGAAGUCUUGACGUUACCAACAGAAUAAUCACCGGCUAACUCUGUGCCAGCAGCCGGGGUAAUACAGAGGGUGCAAGCGUUAAUCGAAAUUACUGGGCGUAAAGAGCGCGUAGGUGGUUCAGUAAGAUGGGUGUGAAAUCCCCGGGCUGAACCUGGGAACUGCUUUCAUAACUGCUGAGGUAAAGUACGGUAGAGGGUAGUGGAAUUUCCUGUGUAGCGGUGAAAUGCGUAGAUGUAGGAAGGAACACCAGUGGCGAAGGCGACUACCUGGACUGAUACUGACACUGAGGUGCGAAAGCGUGGGGAGCAAAC
rnacentral:rRNA from 1 species